AUUAAACGCUGGCGGCAUGCCUUACACAUGCAAGUCGAACGGCAGCACGGGGGCAACCCUGGUGGCGAGUGGCGAACGGGUGAGUAAAGCAUCGGAACGUGCCCUAGAGUGGGGGGAUAACGUAGCGAAAGUUACGCUAAUACCGCAUAUUCUGUGAGCAGGAAAGCAGGGGGAUCGCAAGACCUUGCGCUCUGGGAGCGGCCGAUGUCGGAUUAGCUAGUUGGUGGGGUAAAGGCCUACCAAGGCGACGAUCCGUAGCGGGUCUGAGAGGAUGAUCCGCCACACUGGAACUGAGACACGGUCCAGACUCCUACGGGAGGCAGCAGUGGGGAAUUUUGGACAAUGGGCGCAAGCCUGAUCCAGCCAUGCCGCGUGAGUGAAGAAGGCCUCGGUUGUAAG
rnacentral:rRNA from 1 species